rnacentral:rRNA from 1 species
AGUUCGGAUUGCAGUCUGCAACUCGACUGCAUGAAGCUGGAAUCGCUAGUAAUCGCGAAUCAGCAUGUCGCGGUGAAUACGUUCCCGGGUCUUGUACACACCGCCCGUCACACCAUGGGAGUCGGAAAUGCCCGAAGCCAGUGACCCAACCUUUAAGGAGGGAGCUGUCGAAGGCAGGUCUGGUAACUGGGGUGAAGUCGUAACAAGGUAGC